rnacentral:rRNA from 1 species
AUGAGGAAGAAGGAGGAGAAGCAAAGAGAAGAGCGCAAUGGAUUCACCGGCGAGCGGUCGCAGCGCUCCGGCGUACGGCGACGCGGGGACGACCAGAUCAUGGCGAGAGGAAGGCGUCGGCUGCUGCCUGGGUUGAGGCGAACCGACGGGAGCUCGGGCGUGGUUGCAGGCAUCAGGGACGCUUGGUGUGGCGGCGGUGCACGACGAGCAGCUCGCCACCUCGUAUGGGCAUGGUUGCAGGCAUCAGGGGGAAGAAAGGACUGUAGGAGGAGAAAAGGAUAG